rnacentral:lncRNA from 1 species
UCUUAAAGGAAGAUAGUGCAGGAGAUUGCAGUUCUGGGCACCUGCUUUCUGGCCUUGGCAGAACACGAUGCACUUUGAAUGGGGGAGAAUCUUUCCUUGGGCAGAUGAUAGCGUGUGCUGCUGACUGAGCCAGCUAUGGCAGUUGAGUGCAGAGCUGUAGCUUGAGGAAAUGCAUGUGCUCCAUGGGGAAUGUGCCUCUCAAGCCAGGACAAUGGGGGAAGAGAUCAUGGGGUGUAAGUCUGAAGAGACAUCAGUGCUAUGGACAGCCUAAUGGCUGACUACUGUAUAACCAGAUGCAUGGCCACUCCAUAACAGCCCAUAAGCCCUGCCCACGUACCCAGCGGUUCACUCUGAGCUCUGUUCAUGCAGUCUUUAAGUCGUGAUACCCUGUCUCUUCUUUUGCCUUCAUCAGAAAGCUCAACUACAACUACUGUGGAAUCAUCUACCAUAUCUGGAUCACCAGCAACAGAAACCACACCUACAAGUCCUGGAGACAGUUCUACCAACUCUACAACACCAUCAACAGACGGAAAUACAACUGCGUCAACUGGGAAUGCUACUAUGGUCCCUUCUUCACCAGUAACACAAGGUAAUUAUGAAAAUUCCCUUCAGCCCUCUGUGCGAGCAAUCCUCAGUUGCAGGAGCUACAGAGAGCACAAGCAGCACUGUGUCUUCCUGCCCAGAGGGUACACACUUAUCAAGAAAUGCAGGAAGUUGUUGUGCUUCUUUGGAGCCUGGUCAAAGAAGGAACACACAGUGGUUCCCCAAUGGUAUAGUGAAGAAGUGCAGGGAGUUAUUGCAAGGCAAUGCAUGAUUGCCCAUGGCUGA